rnacentral:rRNA from 1 species
AAUCAACGCUGGCGGCGUGCCUAACACAUGCAAGUCGAGCGAGAAAGUGGGGGCAACUCCAUGAGUACAGCGGCGACCGGGUGAGUAACACGUGACUAACCUACCCUUGAGUGGGGAAUAACUCCGGGAAACCGGAGCUAAUACCGUAUAACACCGUAAGGUCAAAGGAGCAAUUCGCUUAAGGAGGGGGUCGCGGUUGAUUAGCUAGUUGGUGGGGUAAUGGCCCACCAAGGCGAUGAUCAAUAGCCGGCCUGAGAGGGCGCACGGCCACACUGGAACUGAAACACGGUCCAGACUCCUACGGGAGGCAGCAGUGGGGAAUUUUGCGCAAUGGGGGAAACCCUGACGCAGCAACGCCGCGUGAAGGAUGAAGGUCUUUGGAUUGUUAAACUUCUUUCGUUCGGGACGAUAAUGACGGUACCGGAAGAAGAAGCCCCGGCUAACUUCGU